GGAAUGUAAUUUCUUGAUAUCGUUUGGACUUGAAAGAACUUGUUUACAUUGUAUGUGAAAAAACAGUACAAUGGUGGCGCAUAAUGAAUCCUACAUACUACAUGAUGUUUUUCGUGGAUUUACUUAUCUAAUCGUUUAUCACAAUCAUAGUCAUCGUAUAGAAAAUCACGGUUGUCGAGAAUUUACUUCAUGGUCGUCAUGGAUUUAUAUCAUCGUCAAGGAUCAACAUCAUCGUGGUUGUGGAUGUCAAAUUAACCUUGGAUUAAUCAAUUGAGGAUUACGUUACUCUACGAAAGAUGGCCAAAGACGACGUUUCAGGAUUUCAGUUCCAUAUUCCGGAAGUGAUGAUACAUCUAUGCUUCCCUUCUGUUGUUGCCGAGACUCAUUCACAUCUAACAGCAAGGCCUAUGGAGACCAUCAUAAAAUAAUUUCUAUGAAAGAAGAUACAUAUAAAUGAGCAAGACACAAACUAAGGCAUUCUUUAAGUUACAUGUGUGGCAUUCAUUAUUUUGACAUAAAUGUAAGACAAUGAAGACAAGAUCAAAAUAUAUCCGACUUUGCAUUUGAAACAGUUCAUCAAAAUCAUGAGUAGCAACUCUUGUGUCAUUAUUCCAAGGAGGUAAUUUUUGUGAUAUAUUUUUGGGCGAACGACCGAGA